rnacentral:lncRNA from 1 species
AUGGAAGUGUCCCUUCCUCCUGGUCGUGCUCUGAAGCAGUGGGGACUGGGAGCCCUGCUUCCCCCAGUGACAGCUGGUACAAGUGGUUGUGGCAUUCCUCACCAGGCUGUGCUUGAAGACAAUAACAAUUAUCUUAAUUUCUCUGCCUGUGCGGAGCACCGCAGUACCACAAAGCUGAGUCCUGAGCCAGUUCCAGAUCUGAGUGGAACCUCUGAAUGUGUGGACGAAGGGCCUGAGCAAAUGGUCCCACCCUGUGCAGCGUUCAGCACUUUUGGAGGUGGAUGGACAAGGGAUGCAGUCGUCACAGCUCAUGGCUCUGGUAAAGGAGAGAGGCAGUUGCAGAGGGCAGCCCUGGUCUACCUACCGCCAUGGAAACUCAUUUGUCUCUAUUCAGGAUUUUCCCUUAGCUGA